GAUGAUGCACGAUCUGGAAGCUCCUAGUUAGAAGAUGACAUGGACCUUAGUCAUGUAGCGAGUUGGAUUAAGCUGCAAGACAGAGGAUUAGAGCACCCAGGGCGGUUAACUUGGCGAGGUUGCUUCAAUGCUUAAGUCAGUACAGUGUCAUGAUUGCGAGUUAGAAUCUGAGUGCUAGAGAGCUUGGAUGCAAGUAAUCGCACGUACCUGGACCAUGGAGGAGUUGAUGCCUUUAUAUAAUUGAGUUAUUACAGGUUUCCCGGAACAGUUCCGAGAUCUGCAGCCUGAAUGGACGAGAUCCGUUUCCGCUUUAGUUGGGGAGUAAGUAUCAGUCAAUGAACCUCAUUAUCACCACUCGAUUUGGACAGGGAGAAUAUAAGGCUUGCCGUUAUGCGGAAUGAUCCCGCAAUAUUUGAAGUCUGUUGGGAAGUUACUGGUAUUUAUUACGUGUCACUUCGGUUCUCAGGCCUCGAACUCGAUUGGUUGUCGAGGUAACCUUAUGCCGAGCUCCGCAUACCAUUGAUUAGGCUUCCCUUGAUGAGUUGUCAUCCUGCAUGCAGAUCACGUCCACAUGAUUUUUAUUUAUUAGGUCGUGCCAAAUUACUCCUCAUCAAUUGCCCCCACUCCUCGUAGCAGGGGUCCUAACCCAGCGUAGGGAGUUCACGACGAGCUUAGGUGGAUUUGGCAUGGAAUCUAGGUGAUGUGGAGGGUGAGUCCACAUUCCUUUGUUUUUUCCUUUUGAUUACGUUGUCCUUUUCUUUAAUAUGUCUAGCCUUAGCUUAGAUAGCCUUUUAGACGGGAGCGGCGAAUCCAUUAGGGCUGAGGUGGGCACCUCAACUCAGACCGUGGAUCCUAGUCCUACCAAGGUGGUCACUUCAGGAUAGGAUGUGGUCCUCAAUCCGCCCGAGGUGGACUCACCUUGGCGGGAGCGAGAAGCUUCUGGUAAAUUGUCUUCCACCUCCCACCGAGGUUGGCUGCCAGAUAACUUCGGCCCAUCAAUAAUAACGGCGGAUAGGCUUCUAGCCUUAGUAGCCCGGUACAGACUCCCUAUCGGCCUUGUGUAUAGCAUCCCCUUAGGCAACUUUCCUUAGGAUCAUGAUCACAAUGAGAUCGUGGUCUUCGAGGAGCAGCUCGUAGUCGGUCUACGUCUCCCACUUCACCCUCUUAUAAUCGAGAUUGUUAAAUUCUUUAACAUUACCAUAGACCAACUACACCCGAACUCUAUCCGUAAUAUUGUAGGGACCAUUUCUCUUUUCCAUGACUACAACCAUCACCUUGACCUCGACGCCUUCUCUUCGAUCAUUUUCAUUAAGAAAAACAUGUCAUGUGUUCUGCCCGAAGACAGGCGAACUUACUACUCUCCUUGUCCCGGGUACAAACUAUUGCAUGAGCUCCCUAAUAAGGUUCCGGCCUAGAAGAGGCGUUACUUUAUGGUUCGCAACACCGAUGGGUGACCCUUCCCGACUCACUGGAUGGCAGCCAUCCAAGACCCCGACGUUAGACUGGACCUGAAGACAGGGAGGAGGUCCGAUCUUGGGCAGAGCUCGGCUUGAAGUUCGAAAACAUCGUGACCAAGGAGACGCUCGUGCAAGUCGGCCUAAAUCCUCCUGCUGCCAUGGACGACAUCCCUGUCGAUGAGCUCUUCGGAAGCAUGAAAAAGGGGAAGAAGAAGAAGAGAGCCUCCAAAAAGGCUCGCGUCGAGACUAAAGUAGCCACAAUUGAGGUUGUCGUUCCUAAGCCCGAGCACCCACCUAUCGUCGAGCAGCCUCUCGUAAUCGAUCUGGUCGAGGAGGACUCGGGCAAGGCCACCCCACCCCGCAUACCCGAGGAGGCUACGUCUUCAGAGCCUUUUCCAGCGGCCGCCACUUCUUCGAGCAGCGAUGCUCCAGUUCGGAGCAUUUUAACUCUGAAGUUCGGCCUUCUCAAGAGCAAGGACGCGGUGUUUACUGAGGAGAUCGCUCGUUGGGCCGACUUGCCAGUUGCUCAGCUCGGGGCCCGAGCAGCCACACACUGUAUGGUGGUGAACUCCUCCAUCCAUGCCUUGGCUUACCAGUCCGAGGUGAACCUAAAGUGAGCUCUCGAAGCCAAGGAGUCUUCCUGAAAUGCCUACGUCGAACUAAACUUAGCUCGCAACGAAAUCAACCAACUGAAGAACGACGCACGAGCUAAGAAGGAGCUGCUAACUCUGCUGAUGUCAGAGAAGAAUGAGCUCGAAGAGCGUAAAACAGCAUUGAAGAGGGAGAUCGAGAACCUCGAGGCCCACGUGAAGGAAUGAACCGAACUCCUGCUUCAGGCGAUAGAGGAGGCCAAGGUUAAGGCGGUUGAAGAGUACAAGUCAUCAGUGGAGCUUUGGGAAAGGUUGGUCGAGGCAGGGACAGCAGGCUACUACAAGGGGUUCAAACUCAACAGGUGGUUGACCCGGCGUGAAUUUCCCUACCUCGAUCUCAGUGCUAUCACCACGUCGAAGAUCACCAAAGAGAUGGCCAUUGAAGCUGCCAAGGAUCGGACUCUAGUGAUGACGACCUGCUUAUGUUAGACAGUUGUAUGCCCUUA